UUCCUCCGAGGGCCAGAAACUGUCUCACAAUAAACACCUGCUUCUUAGCAAAACAGACAGUGGGCAUACGUGUGACGUACACAA
rnacentral:snoRNA from 1 species